AUUAAUGCUUUGGUUUUAACAUUUCAAAUUUUGAACCAUGAUUUGAUCUUCAAAUAAAGUUUUGCCUAAAACAAAAGUUGGAGGAAAUCAAAUUUUGAACAACUUUCAUUCUUGGAAUUUUUCGAGUUUCUAUAUGAAGUUUUGAGUUUUGGACGGUCAAAAUCGAGCUAAGUUUCGUUGAACCAUUUUCUCCCGGUGUUUAUCUGCUCCCUUCCGCCACCCAUGGCCACGUGACGCGCGGCGAGCACCUGCUCGCCGACGUGCUGUGCGCGCCACGCGCCGGCACCCGUGGCAGCCUGGGCACGAGCCUUCGCGACCUCCCCGGCCUUAUCCUCUCUCGGCAUCUCUAUCCACUCCCUCUCCCCCUUCCAGUUCCUCCCUCCUCUAGCUUGGUCGAGCCGAGCAGAGCCGCUAUCGCCGCCGCUCCGGCCAUCCUGGGCCACCGCGCCUCAAUUCACUCCGCGAGGAGCCGCACCACAUCCACCCGCACCUCCUCCCGCAACCUCAGCUCCCGGACAAGCUCUCCCCAGUUGGAAUCGACACCCCCGCCCACCGGUCUCCAUUAAAGUUUCGUCGAAACUCAGGCCGUCGCCGAACUCCAUCUCUCGGCCACAGUUUCCACCAACCAACGGCUAGAAUCGACUCCUCUCGACUCGCUGAAGCUCGUGCUCUCCACGUUCCAUCGCGUUCCACAAGUUUCCAUGCUCGUUCAUGGCGCCGCCACCACUGUCGCUCACUGCUCCCGCCGCCGGCGCCUCUCCGGUCGCCCCCAACCCUCAACGAGACCACCCAGAGGUACGCUAGAUGUACGACGCGUGGAGCUAAAGGAUAAAGUCGGAGCCGGACCCGAAGAUGAUGUUUGGUUGACAUAUCCAGAAGAUGGAUGGAUGGAUCCCGAUGUGCACGACCGAAGGCAGGUGCUCGUCAAGCGAGUGUCAUCUAACCAACACUAACUAAUUCAGUGUUAAUCCCAGGCAAGCCCCGGAGCAUAACCCUUAACUUCAGUAUUCAAUGUUUAUUUAUAUAAUUAUUGUGCAUUUACGUUCUA